CAGACAGAGACAGACAGAGAGAGAAGACACAGAAAAGAGGAUUCAUUUUGGGGUCUCCCCUCUUUUAUUUCCAUUUUCCUCUGCCUUUUCUAAAACCAGUUACUGGAUCUCAGAAGUGAUUCCUGUUUUCCUUCCUCUCUUUCCUUCCCUCUUUUCCUCUUCCCCCCUGUCCCCUUCCCUCUCUCCUCUGUCCACCUCUCCUUCCCCAAACCCCUCCCGCAUGCCCUCGCCCCCCUCCCAAAGCCCAGCUCGGAGUCUGCGCCCCCCCCCCCCUCGCCGGACCCGGACCCCAGCCCAUUGUUAGCCGGCUUUUCCAAGGCAGCUAUGCAUCUGGCUCCAGAGGGAAGCGGAAGACGGGGAGGCGGCUCUCGAAGCUUCCCAACCUUCCGGUGCCAUCAACUUUUCAGGAGUGGCUCAAGAAAGAUAGAUGCAUGUGCCAAGCAAGACAACAACCCCAGGUUCAUGUGUCCAAAUCUCUGUAGCCAGGGCGGCGACCAACCAAAGCAAUGCCACCCGGAGCAGGCUCCUGCGGCUCCUGGCAUUCUGGGUUUCAUACCCGUAGGGCUCGGGUGCGAAGGAGAACGAGGAGGGAUGAAGGAGAGGAAAUAAAUCCAGAGAAUGCCAGAUCCCAAAUUCCAGGAUGAAGCCAAAGCUGGGACUCAAACAGUCCAGGGAAGGGCUCGGGGAGGCUCCUGGGAGUUCAGCCUUUCUUUUCUUCAGCCGGAGACCUGGGUGAGGCUGUCCGGUUCGAGCCUCCUAGCUCCCCGUGGCGAUUUUAGGAGUGAUUCUUUCCUCCUAGUGCGAUAAAGGACCGAAAAGCAUCUACAGAGAGUCCGGUUGCUCGAGAAAAUGCUCGCCAUCCUCCGCGCGGCUGGCGAUUCCCAGGGUUAAGGCAUUGACUGGUCCUCUUCGACCUAGAGGAAGAUCUUGGAGAAGACCGCCCUGCCUUACUCCCCAGCGGGGCCUCUCGGGCACCUGUGCGUCCCCGCCGCGCUUCGGCCCGCGGCCUUUUGUUUCUCCCGCACUCUGCACUCACGCAGCUUCUGCGCCUGCGGCUGGCCCCUCCGUGGCAGCUGGGAAUCAGGCUGCCCAGCGGGCUGGCGUUAGGCGGUUUGCAAAGCUGCCCGCCUCCGGGAGCUCCUACAGCCUUCCGAGAAUUCGCUGCGCUCCCGGGCGAGCCGCCCGGCCAGGCUCCACUCCGGAGCUAGAGGGCUUGCCGCGGCCUGCUCAAGCCAGUUCGCCUCUGCCUGAAUUCCACGCAGACCCCCGUCUUCGGCCAAAGAACCCCUUCUGAACACGGAUAUUAUUCAGAAUAAAAACUUUAUUUAUUUUUUUUGUUUAGUUUCUCAGAAUGUGAGCAGCAAGGAAUGUAGAACUCUCGAAACAAAUCUAGCAUUUUUCACGUUUACAGAUUGUUGUUUUUUUUUUUUUUCAGUUUGGCCGGAUGUUACAAACCUAAAUCAGUCUUUUCAAAAGCUGGAUCCUCUCUGGUAUUAUUGCAUCAUUACCGUUUUUAUAAAGGAAUUAUAUUUCCCUUUCAAAUAAAAAAAAUUUUUCUAUGUACGCCAAUACACUAUUGAACAAAAGGCCCAAGAAACCUUCUGAACAAUCAGGGUACAGAAUUUCUUUAAUAUAAAUACGAACGGAUGGGGAUAAAUAAUAUUUAAAACUUAGAUUAUUCAAUGCUUGCAAAAAAAAUAUAAAUAAAUCUGACUGUUCACCAGCAUACACACACGGAAAGACGUACACUUAGUCGUCCUUGCACAGGGAGCCCCUGUUUCAAAGCGCCUUUGAUUUUUUUCUCGCUCUUUACAAGAAGUGCAAUUUAAAAAAAAUCUAAAAGUUAAAAAAAAAAAAAGUAAUUGCUUCCCCUCGGGAGCCAUAAUGUACGAACAAAUUCACAUUGAAGAACUCGGCUAGAAAAUUUGU